rnacentral:tRNA from 1 species
CCUUCGGUAGCUCAGUUGGUAGAGCGGUGGACUGUAGAGUUCGAAUCCUUGGUAAUCCAUAGGCCGCUGGUUCAAAUCCGGCCCGAAGGA